rnacentral:rRNA from 1 species
ACGAACGCUGGCGGCGUGCCUAAUACAUGCAAGUAGAACGCACAGUUUAUACCGUAGCUUGCUACACCAUAGACUGUGAGUUGCGAACGGGUGAGUAACGCGUAGGUAACCUGCCUGGUAGCGGGGGAUAACUAUUGGAAACGAUAGCUAAUACCGCAUAAUAUUAAUUAUUGCAUGAUAAUUAAUUGAAAGGUGCAAUUGCACCACUACCAGAUGGACCUGCGUUGUAUUAGCUAGUAGGUGAGGUAACGGCUCACCUAGGCGACGAUACAUAGCCGACCUGAGAGGGUGAUCGGCCACACUGGGACUGAGACACGGCCCAGACUCCUACGGGAGGCAGCAGUAGGGAAUCAUCGGCAAUGGACGAAAGUCUGACCGAGCAACGCCGCGUGAGUGAAGAAGGUUUUCGGGUCGUAAAGCUCUGUUGUAAGAGAAGAACGGGUGUGAGAGUGGAAAGUUCACACUGUGACGUUAUCUUACCAGAAAGGGACGGCUAACUACGUG